GAUGAAGAACGUAGUGAAAUGCGAUAAGUAAUGUGAAUUGCAGAAUUCAGUGAAUCAUCGAAUCUUUGAACGCACAUUGCGCCCCUUGGUAUUCCGGGGGGCAUGCCUGUUCGAGCGUCAUUUCAACCCUCAAGCUCUGCUUGGUAUUGGGCUCCGUCCUCCUCGGACGCGCCUCAAAGACCUCGGCGGUGGCGUCUUGCCUCAAGCGUAGUAGAAACACCUCGCUUUGGAGUGCAUGGCGUCGCCCGCCGGACGAAACCUUUUGUAUUUUCUCAAGGUUGACCUCGGAUCAGGUAGGGAUACCCGCUGAACUUAAGCAUAUCAAUAAGCGGAGGA
rnacentral:misc_RNA from 1 species